rnacentral:tRNA from 1 species
AAAAAGUUAGUUAAAAAUAUAACCUAAAUUUGUCAAAUUUAAAUUAUAAUUAUAAAUUAUACUUUUUA